rnacentral:rRNA from 1 species
CCGCCUAAGGUGGGACAGAUGAUUGGGGUGAAGUCGUAACAAGGUAGCCGUAGGAGAACCUGCGGCUGGAUCACCUCCUUUCUAAGGAAUAAAUU